rnacentral:lncRNA from 1 species
AUUUAACCGUGUCUUUUGGAUAUACAUCAAUUAUAUUCUAUGAAAAUAUUUUUAAAUAUUUUCUCCCCUUCUAUCAAAGUUCUUUUAUAUAUACAUCCGUUCUAUACAAGUAUUUGUAAGUUUUCUCUCUCUUUAUAUCAAAGUUUGUUUCUCUUUUUAUGUUUCAUCUCAAUAUUUUUAUUUUAUUGUUUGUUUUGAAAUUAUUGAAGAUGAUUUUAUUUCACUUUUCUAUUUCAUCUCAAUAUUAUUAUUAUUUUAUUGUUUGUUUUGAAUUUGUUGAAGAUGAAUGCUUGACUGAAUCAUUACGAAGUUUAAUCUCUAGAGAAUAAGAGGUUAUUUAUUCUAUGUCAUGUCAGUUAUUUCUAAUUUAUAUGUCUAUUGUUUUCGAGUAUGGCAGUUUUGAAUUACUUCAUCGUCUGUUUUCUUCAAACUUUUUCAAAUAAAGAGAAAAGUAAAUAAAGAGAAAAAAAGAUUUUUUUUUUAAAAUAACCAAAUUUUUCAAAAAAAAAAAUCUGAAAUAAUCAAUUUUUCAAAAAAAAACCAAAAUAAUCAAGUUUGAUAGAGGAUGUGUCAGAUGAAUUGCCGUACCCCCAUACCAAUAAAAGGAGGCGUCAGUAGCAUUGACGCACAUGCAGUGGGCCUCAUGAGGAGGCGUCAAUGCUUGUGGCGCCUGCAUUGACCCUCGUGAGGAGGCGUCAAUGCCUCUGGCGCCUGAGUAUAUUUUUAAAUGUGGGUGUAUGCGUCAAUUCAUCUGGCGCAUACACCUCCUCCUAUUAUUUUAUUUUAUUUUAUUUUAAUUCUUUUAGUUAUUUAAUUUUUUUAUUUUUAAUAUUUAAUAUUUAUUAUUUAAUACAUAAAAAAUAAUAAUGAAAAAAAUAAAUUCAUUAAAUAUGUAAUAAUUGGUUACAUUGGACAGACAAAAAACUAAUGACCCGCCUGAUUAUAACGUCCCCCGGUUCCACAUCCCGGUGCGUUAGUUUGUUUCCGAGGUCUCCCACGAUUUUCUUGAGGUGUUUGUGGUCUUUGGGUGCUGACCUGAUCGGGCGAUGGCUGGUUGGAAGGUCCGGCGGAAGUUCCGGUGGUAUUUGACAGAUGUGUCAUCAUUUGCUCCCAAUAUCCGGAGGGGCUCUGGUCAACGGCGCUUCCGUAAUGGAGUUCGGUGUCCAUGUCAUCGUAGUUAGGGCGUUGGGGUUGGGUAAAUUGGGGACGGUAUAGUUGCCCAAAUUGGGCCAUUGAGUCGUUUUGAAAACGAAGCAAUGGUUCCUGGGGCGUACUAUAGUUAAACAGUGGUUGGGUGUUCAUUGGUGGGGGGUUACGAUGAAGUGACCCAUAUGAAUCAUCUGGACUAUAGACGGUUGUGGUUGCGGGCUUUGAUUAUUGGUUUUGUGUUUUGGUGGGUGGUAUGAAUGGAUUGCGACGUUGGAUGGUUGGUUGUUGGGUGGUUGGCAUGAACGGGUUGCGAUGUUGGGUGUGUGGUUGUUGUGUGUAUGUGGUCGGUUGAUGUUGUGUGGUUGAUUGUUGGGUUUAGGUGGGUUCACAUUGGUGUUGGGUGGGUUCACAUUGGUGUUGGAUGGUGAAUUGAUGUGGGGCAUACGAUGACGAAGCAAGUUGGCACGAAUCCAUCAAAUAUUGCGGCUCAGAUACAAAUUGCUGAGUUGUUACAGACCUAAACCAUGCCAUAUAUUGUUGAGUCGGUCUUGCACCUUGGAUGACUGGUUCGUUCAAGAUGUGUUGUCGUCGAUUCCUCCAUUGACGACAUUAUUGUUGAGUCGGUCUUGCACCUUGGAUGACUGGUUCGUUCAAGAUGUGUUGUCGUCGAUUCCUCCAUUGACGACACAUGUCUUUUGCAAAGUCUCUCCAGUCAGAAUAAUCCCACUGUGCAUCGAUCCUUUUUUGAUGUCAAUUCCCCAAACAUGUGGGAGAUUCUGGAGUAUGUUGUAGCAUUCCGAACUACAGUUUGACCCGGUCACUUUGGUGCAUUUCCACUGUAGUGAAUCGGAUAAUCGGUGUCUUCGCUGUCCACACUGCAGCAUCACCAUGGUUCACAUCAUGAUUCAGACCCAGAUAUGGCCUUCAAACAAACUGUAAAACAAUACCAAAUUAUUAGAUGGAAAAUAAUUUGAGAAGUAUUUUUAAAUUAAAAUAUAGUUUGGUAGGAGUAUUUAGGGGUGGCAAACGGGCAUGCCCGCCCCGUAUAGGCCCGCCCCGCAAAAGCCCGCAAAAAAACAGGGCGGGGCGGGGCGGUCAUAGUUAAGGAUGCGGGCCUAAAACUUAGACUCGCCCCGGAAAAAAGUGAGGGCGGGGCGGGGAAAGCCCGCGGGCACUGCACUCUUUAAGCCUAAAAAUACAAAAAUUUAUGUAAAUACAUGUGCCCACAAAAGCCCGCAAAAAAACGGGGCGGGGCGGGGCAGACACAUUUGAGGGUGAGAACCUAAAUCCUUGGCCCGCCCCGCACAAAAGUGCGGGCAAAACGGGCAUGCCCCGCGGGCCGAGCCCAUUUUGCCUGGGGCAGACACAUUUGAGGGUGAGAACCUAAAUCCUUGGCCCGCCCCGCACAAAAGUGCGGGCAAAACGGGCAUGCCCCGCGGGCCGAGCCCAUUUUGCCACCCCUAGGAGUAUUACAUCGUCAUGUCCAAUGUGGUCCAAUAGAUUUCGAUAGACUACAAUAGCGUGUUUCGGACAGCUAUUGUAGUUCAUUCCCUUUACUGACCACCUAAGAUAAUAAAAAGAAGUGAAAAAUAUUAUUUACUGUUAAUUCAAAUAAUAAAUAUAAUUAACUAAAUGGUGAAUGGUAAAAUGUUAGACUUACUUGGUUGCAAACGGGAACACGAAUGAGCGCUCAUUUAUCGGGGCGAGCGACGGCAUUCUAGACCACCCCCAAGCUUGAAGCAAAUAAGCACAUGAAAAAAAAGUACAGGUAUUCUUUUUUGCAGUUCUACACAUUGCACUAUAUAGAUGGGUCAACACAGCUGAACCCCAACUAUAAGUGUUUACCUUAUUAAUGUUCCGUAAUAAAGGUAAAUACAUUAUAUUCACAAAAUUACCUGUACUUUCUGGAAACAAAAAGUUACCAAAUAAAAUCAUAAUAUAACACCGAGAUUUUAUUAUUUUCUCAUACUCGGUUGAAUCGUCGGACAAUACUAUACUGGCAUAAUAUUGUUUUAGGUAUUUUAAAUGUAUACCUUGCCCCCUUGCUUGACCGGAUGUGUCUCCCUCAGUUUCGUCGUCUAACAAAGGGGCACCCAAUAAUUCAUUUCAUAUAUUGUUGUCUUGGUUAACUCGCCCAUUCACUGCCUUUCCGUCUAUACGGAGACCCAACAACAUGUACAUGUCCUCAAGUGUGAUGAUACACUCACCAAUCGGAAGGUGAAAUGUGUGGGUCUCGGGUCUCUGAUUAGUGUAUUUUGAUGCACAUUCUUCUAUAACUGUACUUAGGUAUUUAUCUAGUUUAUUUUGCUUAUUUUACUAUUUUAUUAUGUUUUUAGAUUUAAGUUCAUGUUUGCCUUUAAUCUAUUUUCGUUUGCUAUUUUCAGUUUUAGCGGUUAUUUGAUACAUGUCCACUGUUUUUUGCUUAUUUUACUAUUUUAUUAUGUUUUUAGAUUUAAGUUCAUGUUUGCCUUUAAUCUAUUUUCGUUUGCUAUUUUCAGUUUUAGCGGUUAUUUGAUACAUGUCCACUGUUCGGAUCAUAACUUAACCUACGGGAUUCCGUUUUGCAAGUUCUGACAUGCGUUGGAAAGCUAAGAGAAAGAGCUACAACUUUUAUGUUUAAGAAAAAAGCUGAUUCAGAGUGAAGAAGUCUCAAGUAAUUCAUUGAAAUUUCGUACUUUAGGAAAUAUUUUCUUUUGGGCCAUUUGUUGGGCCGAAUUUAGGUUUUUCGGCCCAGUUUGAAUUAUAAGUGAAACCCUUAUUCUGUUUAAAAGGGCAGCCGAGGUACUGUAGCAAAGACACAUUAUUCACCAUAACUUUUUGCUUUUGUGCGAUCAUGAAGAGGAACUAAUCAUCUAGAGUCAAUCUGCUGUAACCGAAUUUCCAAGGCUUUGAGGUUUUUAUUCUAUCAAUUUAAUUUCGUUCUCUUUCAAUUCUAUUCUAUGAAAUUUCACUUGCUUAAUCUGUAUUUUUUGGAAUGGUUUUGAUUAAAUUCGUAUGAUUGCAUUCCUAA